rnacentral:rRNA from 1 species
AAUAGAAGACGAUCAGAUUCCACCCUAAUUACCAGAGUAAGAGAUGCUAUUAUGUAUUGUUUGCAUGGAUUAAUAAAAGAACUGUUUGAUUGAGCCAUGCAAUCAUUCCUCAUUAUGCUUAGAAUGCGCAUAAGAAUUACUAAAUUGCCCGGUAUGCAGAGGGAAUAUUGAGGCUAGGC